rnacentral:rRNA from 1 species
CCUACGGGUGGCAGCAGUGGGGAAUAUUGCGCAAUGGGCGAAAGCCUGACGCAGCGACGCCGCGUGAGGGAUGAAGGUCCUCGGAUCGUAAACCUCUGUCAGCAGGGAAGAACGGUCACUGUGCUAAUCAGCAGUGAAUUGACGGUACCUGCAAGGGAAGCAUCGGCUAACGCCGUGCCAGCAGCCGCGGUAAUACGGAGGGUGCGAGCGUUAAUCGGAAUUACUGGGCGUAAAGCGCUCGUAGGCGGUAUGUCAAGUCAAGGGUGAAAUCCCCGCGCUCAACGUGGGAACUGCCUUUGAAACUGGCAAACUGGAGUGUGUGAGAGGAUAGUGGAAUGCCAGGUGUAGGAGUGAAAUGCGUAGAUAUCUGGAGGAACAUCAGUGGCGAAGGCGACUAUCUGGCACAUAACUGACGCUGAGGAGCGAAAGCGUGGGUAGCAAACAGGAUUAGAUACCCUGGUAGUC